GGAAACCUUGCAAGUGGAUCGUAAAGAUGCACAUAUCAAUUUGGAAUUCUGCCUCCAAGCCAGAAUUGCAGGAAUGCACAACAUGUUGCAGAAGACUCUUUCACUGCCCUCUGUGCCCCACUUUCAGCCCUACUGUCAGGGCAAAGAUUGAGGAGCAUAUAAAUGGACACAUUAAAAAUGCUUUGCCUUUCAAAGACAAAAUGACAUGCUGGUGCAGGCUGCCAUGUAGGAUGACAGGACACUUUCACUGCCCUGUCUGUAACAUGAUAAUCAUACGGCGUGGGGAUAUGGCAAGGCAUUUAUUGUCAUGUCAGCAUUCAGGACUGCUCCCCACUGAACUCUCCGAGGAGCCACACCUCCCUCUCGAUGUCUUGUCUCCAUUUGCAGAGGACAUGGAGCUCUUUUUAAAAGCAUGUGCUGACGAGCAGGGACUACGGGUCAAUGCAAUGUUUGACAUUUAAUGGACAGAUGAAGGCACUGGCUGUUUGUUUGUGUUUUUAAUGUGUUGUUGGGUUGUUUUCCAGUGUACAGAAUUCCAGUUAAACUUAUUACAAAAUGUUGUUCACUUGUUUCCAUGU